rnacentral:lncRNA from 1 species
UUCUGGGGGCGACUCAGAAGAUUGCACCAACGUAACAUGAACUGGGUCUUGAUGAACCUGCUCACUGACCCGACCGGUACCGAUAACCUCAUCAGAAUGGACCACCACCAUCACAACGUCCGCCUGAGGUACGACAGUCAGUAUCUUAGUGUUUGGCGCAUGACUCGAGGCGGCGAAGGGACGAUCGAUACCCUUCGAACUACCGCUCCCCUUCCGUCGCUGAGUGGAAGCAAACC